ensembl:lncRNA
CUAAGCACUUCUCAAAAUCAAGUUACAGAGGUAAUUUACUUUUCAUUUUUCUCCUUGUCUAGGUCCUAUCCUCAACAGUUCCCCCAGCAGGGCAAUCAGGGCCAGUUUGGACCCAUGAUGAUUAACAACUCUAUGGGGGGACCCGGGCCGGUCAGCGGGGCUGGUGCAGGACAGAUGGCUCAAAUGCCAGGACAGAUGCAGGGUCAAAUGGGAAUGAACUCCAUGGGGAUGGGCCGAAUGCCAAUGGGACCUGACCAGAAGUAUUGCUGAGGACCUGUGGCUCGUGACAGAAUCUGGACCUUUCAGCUGUGGCAGAUUUAGCUGAACAAGGAGAGGAACUGGACGCAGACGCACACACAUAUUCACCACACACACAGUAGAGUUCCCCCAGCAUAAAUUUUGACACAAAGAACUCAGCACAACAUGCUGCUCGCCCUAGAGGGUGUGGGCUGAAAGGACAAAUGAUUUGUGCUAGGUUUCAUCCGCACACAUGUAUACAGAAAUCCGAUACGGCUGUGUGUUUGCACGUGCGUUUGUGUGUGACCUGAAGCUGUCAGGCAGUAUUCAGCGUCACAGCCAGACUGCAGAACAGGACUACGGUACAACUGGCUGUGGCUGCACUUUACCACAAGGCUUCUGUUUCGGGGGGUGAGAGAUUGAUGCAAUAUUUCUUCAUUACAGCCUUACUAGAGAUUCAAUGCCUUCACAACAAUGUUUUGUUUUUUUUUCUUCCUUAUCCUUUGGAUGCGCCUCAUUCUAAAGUCAUUGGAAGCUAUAAGCACACAGUUUACUAUGUUAUGCAGAUUGGAGCAAUAACUCUUGCCUUUAUGCUUUAGACUGUACCUGAGCAUCAUAAUCCCUGUUAUAAGCAAACAAAUGGUACUGCAGUAUUAGAUGUCUCAAAUGUUCUCUGUGAAUAUGAAUUGUAAAUAUUCUACAAUAUAUUAUCAAACAUGCUUUUUAAAGGCCCGUUCUUGCACAAAGUAUGAGACCUGGUUGUAUUUUUGUGUCCCAUAGGUCAAUGCUGAUCUGAUUUCCUUUUUUUUUGUUUUUUUUUUGUUUUCAUUUACAGAAUGCUUUUUAAUUUUGGAAACAAAACAAUAAGGUUAUGUAUUACGUUUUUUAGGCACUUUUUAACUUGCGACGAGUAUCUGAUGCGUUGAAGGUUUGAGCUUUGACGUCAUCAGCAGUGUUCCCCCCUCCCAGGAGCAGCAGCAGCUCUGUCAGUCCAGCUUUUUUUUUUAUUUUUUAUUAUUAUUAUUAUUAUUCACACGAUGUUCUGUUUCGACUGUUAUCAGCUUGCUGAAUCUACCUUUUCAACAUGCGCAAUCCAAAGAUGUUUUUCCACAUGUAUAGUUUCUGAGGUUUCUGGUGUACAUUUUUUACAUUGUGUUAUAUUAUUCUGAUGGUAAAUGGGUACAUAUCAUUGGAUCUGUAAAAGCUUUGGGUGGUUAUGGACAUGAGAUGGAUUGUUCCACAGUGGGAAAGUGAGGUGCAGUGGGGAGAGGACUGGAAAAAAAAAACACGCAUGUUUUGUUGUGAUGUAGAAAAAAAACAAAACAAAAAAAAAACAUCCACUUUAAGACAUAUCAAUAUCUCAUCUAUUUUUCAGGAAACAACUUCAUCUUAUGUCCAGACUUUGUUACUUCAGGAGAAAAAGAAAUAAAAAAUAAAAAAAAUAUCUUGAAGUUUGAAUGAAGUGCAAAAAAGAGGCAGGAGAUCAUUUGGUUUGUUUUUCUUUCUUUGGAGGUAAGAUAAGCUGUUAUUUUACAGGAUGUAUAUUACAGAUUUUUUUUUUUUUUUCUCUGAUGUUGAUAUUGAUAUAAAAUACAAAUUUCUAUUUAAACACUCCUGGCUCUCCAAUUAUUUACUGUUCAUAAGCUGUGAUGCCUGUGUGCAGUUCUCUACACGUCAGUAAAUAUCAGCGGGUGCGCUGCGUUGUCAGAAUGAUUAGUUUGAUCGUACAAAAUGGAUGCGAGGAGGAGGGGCGCUUCUGCUGUCAAGUUACUGAAAAU